AUGCUUUCAGUUUUUAAUUUGCUCAAUUUGGCUGUCCAGUAAUCUGAUUCAACAGAAAUAAACUAUGAUAAAAAUAAAAUCGAUAAGUUUUUCUUUAUAAAUCAUAUAUUCAUGAUUAGAUAAUUCAAGCAAAUCUCUCGCGUUUAAAUACUUCAUUUUGAAUCGGAUGUAAAUAUUUCAAAAGUGUUGUAUUUAGAUUAUAAUGCAAAUUUUUCGCGUUUUUCGGAAUCUAUUGACAAAUGAAUGUGAGCAAAUUAUAAUAUUUUAAAAUUCGAUUUUGACAUCUCUCCUUCUGAACAAAAUGUCCUUUUUCUAAUGUUCAAAUACAAAUAUCCGGUGCUGAACUUCAUAAAAUCGGUAAAGUAAUUUACGUAGUAAACUUCUCACAAUUUUACUUAU